GCUGGCGCAUGCUUACACAUGCAGUCGACGGCAGCACGGGAGCAAUCCUGUGCGAGUGGCGAACGGGUGAGNAUACAUCGGAACGUNCUGUCGUGGGGGAUAACUAGUCGAAAGAUUAGCUAAUACCGCAUACGACCUGAGGGGUGAAAGCGGGGGACCGUAAGGCCUCGCGCGAUAGGAGCGGCCGAUGUCUGAUUAGCUAGUUGGUGGGGUAAAGGCCCACCAAGGCGACGAUCAGUAGCUGGUCUGAGAGGACGAUCAGCCACACUGGGACUGAGACACGGNCCAGACUCCUACGGGAGGCAGCAGUGGGGAAUUUUGGACAAUGGGGGCAACCCUGAUCCAGCAAUGCCGCGUGUGUGAAGAAGGCCUUCGGGUUGUAAAGCACUUUUGUCCGGAAAGAAAUCCCUUGCCCUAAUACGGCGGGGGGAUGACGGUACCGGAAGAAUAAGCACCGGCUAACUACGUGCCAGCAGCCGCGGUAAUACGUAGGGUGCGAGCGUUAAUCGGAAUUACUGGGCGUAAAGCGUGCGCAGGCGGUUUUGUAAGACAGGCGUGAAAUCCCCGAGCUCAACUUGGGAAUGGCGCUUGUGACUGCAAGGCUAGAGUAUGUCAGAGGGGGGUAGAAUUCCACGUGUAGCAGUGAAAUGCGUAGAGAUGUGGAGGAAUACCGAUGGCGAAGGCAGCCCCCUGGGACGUCACUGACGCUCAUGCACGAAAGCGUGAGGAGCAAACAGGAUUAGAUACCCUGGUAGUCCACGCCCUAAACGAUGUCAACUAGUUGUUGGGGAUUCAUUUCUUCAGUAACGUAGCUAAC
rnacentral:rRNA from 1 species